AGGACCAAAGCAGAGUGUGCUGUUUCUACACAACCACCACCAGGAAAGAGGCAGAGGGCCUGGGCCAUGCUGGAGUCCUCUGAGAGGGAGCAACCUCGACCAUAGCUGUGCUGCAAGCUGAUUCCAGCCCUGGGUCAGCAGCACCUGGAGAACAGCAGCAGGAGGUGGUGUGAGAGCAGUGGCUCAUGGGCAGAGCUAUCCGUGGGAAACUGCAGCUGCCACCCCCUCCCGAGGGCAGCCCAGAGGAGUGGAGGCUCAGCAUAAAAUGAAAAAGGGGAGUGAGGGACACAAGGAGGUGGGAGGUGGGUGGCCCCAGCCCCACAAACUGAGCAGAGACCCUCUCUUCACCCUAGACUCUGCAGGGGCACCCCAGGCUGGUAGACCAGGUCCUCUGGGCAUGGGCCCAGGAGGCAGGCCUGCCCUAAGGGUCAUGCAAAGGGUACAGGGCCACACACACUGGUGCCCUGCUUAGACAUCAGCCUCCAGGCUGACUCGGGAUCAGGCCAGGUUUGAUCCUGUGCUUGACUGGGCCAGGACCCGUGGCUAGAGCACCUGGGGACCCUUGUUCAGUCCUGGUCUGCUGGAAGGGGGAUAGCAGAUUUAGGACCCCACAGCACAGCAGUGAUGAGCAUUUUACUCUUUUGGUCUCCUUGAGGAAUAGGACAAGGAGUCCUCUGGGGACAGACGAGGACUUACACAAUGGCCUCAGUUGUGGCCUCUGCUUUCUGAGCUUGGUUAAAACACUCACCAUGGCAGAAAGAACACAGCUUGGGUUCUCACACCUCACUUUCCACAGCCCCUAAUGGCAGCAGUGCACAUGGAAGAGAUGCCUCCUAUGACGCCAAGGCCUCCAGUGCUCACCGAUGCCCUCAUUGAAGUUGGGUAGAACUUGUCAGUGAAGAGGGGCUCAAGCAGCUCACGGAAGCAGAACUUCAGCAUGUUUGCAAUGGCGUGUACCUCCAUCUCACUCAUCAGCAUCGACACGUCCCUGUUAUCUGGAAAGAACAUGGAAGUGCUGCAGCCUCCUUGAGGAUCCCAAUAAAUGAAGAAAAGACACAGUGAAGAAUGUGAUGUGACCCGGCCAUGGAGCUCUGUGAGAUCUCAUUGUGGACAUUGACGCCCACACCUCCAUCACGACCUGAUCCAGCUGCCUUCAGCACCUGGAUGUCUGUGGCCACUCCAGACCCACAGUAGAUGCCCACCUCCUUCAUGCCAUGAUGCUUGAUCUACUCCACACAUUGCUGCAAGAUAAAGGGCACCUUGGCAGAUGCAGCCCUGGACACAGUUGGCACGGCCCAUAGGGCAGCAGGAGCAGCAGCCUGGGGAAGAAGGGGAGAGUAAGAGGUCAGAGCAGACUUGACUGGAGACCUCUCUGCCCCAACAGAGGCCUGGUUCAAGCCCUACCUCCAGCUCCAGAGGACCCUUAGGCCACGGUGGCAUUGCUCCAUCAGGGUCAGCUGGAUCUUUGGAGUGAGGGUCUUCCAGUGAAAAGCUGCCCAGCACAACGUAUACCCAGGAGAAGACAGAAGACUGGAGAGGCAGUGGCUGGGGCGACAGGGACAAAGGAAAACCAGUUCGGCAGAACCAUUGGCUUAAGUGAGAAAAGUCCUGAAGUAUCAGGUCUGUGCUUGGCAGGCUGGUGCAUUUGUGUGGCCUCAGUUUCCCUAUUUUAAGAAUGAAAGUUGGGAAUCAACCAUCUUGUUUAUCCAGCUGUGAUCCUGAAUCAGUUGCCAGGAAAGGAGAUGUGGAAAGCUGGUCACUGUCCCGCUCCUGCCCACUAAUCUCUGGGUUCCCUCCUCUGACUCUGCUCAGCCUCCAGAUUCUCGGGGAAGGCCCCAAACUCACUCUUCCUGUAGGAGGUGCAGGUGCACUCUUUGCAUUUGCAGGAGCUGGUGCAGUGCAGGAGCUACCUGCAGGGAGGAGAAAAAGGCAGUGAGCAGUGAGUGUGGUGCAGGGUUAGAAGCAGCCCCUCAGCAUCCUCCUGCUCACUGCAUGGGAAAUCUGUUACCUAGUUCCAUCCUGUUACCUGUUACCUAGCCCAGCCCCGCCUUUCCGCCCCACAGGCUCGGAUGGGCAGGUGCCCUCUUUUUCAUACCACACAGAGACUUAAGUGGGGAAUCUUGAAGAAGCAAUGUCUCCCACCUCCCUACCAGCCCAGGCAGCUCAAAUGCUGGACAGAACACUGGGUCCCAGCUCAGCACACCUCUGGCCUAUGGGUGACCUGGAGCAGGGGCAGUUUUGAGCCUCAUUCCUCUCUCCUUGGAAAUGGGAGGCACUGGGACAAUGGUAAGGUUUUCAGUGAUAAUAAUAAAAGCUACUGGUAAGAAAAAAAGCACUAGAAGUACAAAGUAAAAAAAAAAAAAAAUCCACUUUAGGUAGAGCUCAAAAUGCAUCUGCCUCCUGCAUUUUUUAAUCCCCCAUUAAAAAUUGGGGAUCCUAAAGGCCCCGAAACCUGGCAUACUUUACCAGUGGUGCAGGAGCAGUUGGGGUCCAUCUGGAGAGCAGGUGAGGCUGGAGCACCUAUGCCAGAGGUGAAGAAGCAGGCAAGCAAGUGGGAGGUGGCUUUGUAGUUGGGGAGGGGUGCUGGGUGCAGAGGUCCUGCCCCAGGCCUGGCUCUGGUUCCGGCAGUGUCAGAGGCACUCUGGGUUCAGGGCCCGGCUGUGCGCAGCAGAUGGGCCAAGUGGAGGAUCCUCUUUAGCGAGGCUGGUGUGCACCCUGGGGGUGGCCCUUUGGCUCCCACUCGCUUUGAAGGAGCUGCGUGCCUGGAGGUAGGCGAUGUCCCUGCUAUAAUCCCGGCCCACCCGAAUUUCUUAGAAAUUGCGGUCCACUCCUGCCUCUGCGCGGUCCGGCAACCCAGCCGCAGGUGAUCGCAGUGUCCCCUGCCCAGCACCCUGCACCAGUGACCUGAGCCUCACCUCUGUUGGAGUCCAUGUGCAACCCCAGCCUAGUGCUCGCAUGUCUAGAUAGGGAAGUGCAGCGAGGGAGUUGUGUGCAGAGGACCAGCCUCCCAUGUGACCUUUGCCUCACCUGCAUUGCCACCCAGGUCCUUUGGCCACGUUUGUCUUAUUCAGAGCAACAGAGCAGACAUAGUGCCCUGCUUCCCUCCCUUCCAUUCCCCACUCCUGGGAAGGUGAUGGGCACAUUUGUCCACAUCCUCCUUUGCUGUAACUUCUUGGGGCUUCCCACAGCCUAGCUGGCCCACCAGGCCCAAGGAUGGAGCUUCCCAAAACUUGGAAUGUUCCCAAGGGAGGGAUCUUUUUCCUGAUGUGCUCACCCUUGCAUUAAAUUAAGAAGCAUGAAAAGUAGUUAUUACUUUCAGGAUUCUUAACUAUUACAGAGCUUUUAGACUCAGCCAGACCCUGUUGAGUCACUUUGGCUAUUUCAACCCUCACAGCAACCCUCAAGGGAAAUACUUUUUAUGACAGCGUCUUACUAUUCAGACAAGGACAACACAAAGAGAUAAGUAACUAGCCCAGG